UCCACAGCUCAUACUCUGUGUAAUGACUUGUCUCAGGUCCUCCACAGCUCAUACUCUGUGUAAUGACUUGUCUCAGGUCUCAGGUAUUUUAAAGAUGGCUGUUAUUCACAGUUUUUUCCUUUGCUGAUGGGAUGCGUGGCACUGGCAUAACUAUCGGGGGUGCAGGGAGCGUGGCUGUACCAGGGCCUGUGAUGGGUGGGGGGGGCCCAAGUGGGCCCGGCUUGACCUCUAUGAUACAUUUUCUUUCGCAUUGUUGUUUUAUGUUGUGUUAUUCUAUGUGGCUAUGUUCAUCAGACGUCAGCUGGAUCGGCUUCACCUUCAUUUAUACCACAUCGUACAUUUUGGUCGCGGGGGGGUUGUAAGGACAUCUUACACCACUGAUGCAUGGUAAGCGAGUUACGCAUUUAGCACGGUGAACAGGUGCGACUAACAAUGCUUUAAGAAUACUCCCUGCAAUGCCUAGAAAGAGAUGCCUCAGUCCAAACUAUAACAUUGAAUACUGCUGAGUUGUCUGAAUAGAUGUUCCUCCCUGCCAAAUGAAUGUGGAAGGAUGGUUUAGGAUGAGCACAUUAUGCUCUUGGCUGACAUCUCGGCACAUCUCAAAUCUGAUUGGUUGAACUAUUUUUAUUAUUCAUCCAAGUGAAUCAGUAAUAGUUGUGGCAUUGUGGCAGUUCCGGAUUACCAAUGAGUAACCAAACUGGAAUAACUAAACAGAAACAGCUCAAUUGCCCAAAACAUCCCAUACAAUAAUCAAGCUUUUACAGUUUCUUGAAAACUUCACCCAUUUGCUCAAAACUCUUCCUCCUCUUACACGUCCUCUUCCUCCUCGUCCACCACCUCUUACACGCACAGGUCUGUCCAUGUAACACUGUAUCACAGGCCUGUCCACAUAAUACUUUAUCACAGGUCUGUCCAUGUAACACUGUAUCACAGAUCUGUCCACAUAAUACUUUAUCACAGGUCUGUCCAUGUAACACUGUAUCACAGAUCUGUCCACGUAAUACUUUAUCACAGGUUGGUCCAUGUAACACUGUAUCACAGAUCUGUCCACGUAAUACUUUAUCAC
ensembl:lncRNA